GAUGAACGCUGGCGGCGUGCCUAAUACAUGCAAGUCGAGCGAACAGACGAGGAGCUUGCUCCUCUGACGUUAGCGGCGGACGGGGGAGUAACACGUGGAUAACCUACCUAUAAGACUGGGAUAACUUCGGGAAACCGGAGCUAAUACCGGAUAAUAUAUUGAACCGCAUGGUUCAAUAGUGAAAGACGGUUUUCCUGUCACUUAUAGAUGAAUCCGCGCCGCAUUAGCUAGUGGGUAAGGUAACGGCUUACCAAGGCACCGAUGCGUAGCCGACCUGAGAGGGUGAUCGGCCACACUGGAACUGAGACACGGUCCAGACUCCUACGGGAGGCAGCAGUAGGGAAUCUUCCGCAAUGGGCGAAAGCCUGACGGAGCAACGCCGCGUGAGUGAUGAAGGUCUUCGGAUCGUAAAACUCUGUUAUUAGGGAAGAACAAAUGUGUAAGUAACUAUGCACGUCUUGACGGUACCUAAUCAGAAAGCCACGGCUAACUACGUG
rnacentral:rRNA from 1 species